rnacentral:rRNA from 1 species
GAUGAACGCUGGCGGCGUGCCUAAUACAUGCAAGUCGAGCGAACUGACUAGAAGCUUGCUUCUAUGACGUUAGCGGCGGACGGGUGAGUAACACGUGGGCAACCUGCCUGUAAGACUGGGAUAACUUCGGGAAACCGAAGCUAAUACCGGAUAGGAUCUUCUCCUUCAUGGGAGAUGAUUGAAAGAUGGUUUCGGCUAUCACUUACAGAUGGGCCCGCGGUGCAUUAGCUAGUUGGUGAGGUAACGGCUCACCAAGGCAACGAUGCAUAGCCGACCUGAGAGGGUGAUCGGCCACACUGGGACUGAGACACGGCCCAGACUCCUACGGGAGGCAGCAGUAGGGAAUCUUCCGCAAUGGACGAAAGUCUGACGGAGCAACGCCGCGUGAGUGAUGAAGGCUUUCGGGUCGUAAAACUCUGUUGUUAGGGAAGAACAAGUACAAGAGUAACUGCUUGUACCUUGACGGUACCUAACCAGAAAGCCACGGCUAACUACGUGCCAGCCGCCGCAGUAA